AUACGUAGGUGGCAAGCGUUAUCCGGAUUUACUGGGUGUAAAGGGAGCGUAGGUGGAUAUUUAAGUGGGAUGUGAAAUACCCGGGCUUAACCUGGGUGCUGCAUUCCAAACUGGAUAUCUAGAGUGCAGGAGAGGAAAGUAGAAUUCCUAGUGUAGCGGUGAAAUGCGUAGAGAUUAGGAAGAAUACCAGUGGCGAAGGCGCUUCUCUGGACUGUAACUGACGCUGAGGCUCGAAAGCGUGGGGAGC
rnacentral:rRNA from 1 species